rnacentral:rRNA from 1 species
CACGUAGGGACCAGGCGUUGUCCGGAUUUAUUGGGCGUAAAGCGCUCGUAGGCGGUUUGGUAAGUCGGGUGUGAAACCUCCAGGCUCAACCUGGUGACGCCACCCGAUACUGCCAUGACUUGAGUUCGGUAGGGGAGCGGGGAAUUCCUGGUGUAGCGGUGAAAUGCGCAGAUAUCAGGAGGAACACCGGUGGCGAAGGCGCCGCUCUGGGCCGAAACUGACGCUGAGGAGCGAAAGCGUGGGGAGCAAACAGG